AUGGAUGAGAUGCUGCGCAAGAUUGGAUCUCGAGAAGCUCCUUUCAUCGGUGGCGGCGCAUGCGUUGGAGGCGGCGGAUACCGACACCUUUUCCGAUUGACUUCCACGGUUCCACCUCCUUCUUCUCCUGGAUCCCCUGUCUUCUUUGCCUAUCAAAACCCAUACAUGGCUGUGGUUGAUGCUGGUGAGUCCCUUUUCAGCUGCCCAUCCCAACUCCUUCCCAUUCCUUGUUUUUGGGAUGAUCGUGUACUAAUUUGUUCUAGGUUUCCAUUCCCGAGAAGAGACUACAAGAGAAUCCAUCCAAAGGCACUAAGGUUGUUUUCUGUAUUGACAUCUCUUAUAUUUGUCUAUGAGUGCAUUUUAUCAAUAGUUAAAUUUAUAGUUUAUGAUGUGAAGGUUCGACCCACAUAUAUGAAAAGUAUAUAUGUUGGGACACCUUAUGUGUGUGCUGAAUAA
rnacentral:rRNA from 1 species